UUUUCUUCACACCAUAAGCCUUUCUUUCUCUCUCUAACUUCUCUCUAGCCUCCCUAAACCCCUCCCAAGUCUACGGAACCUCCCUAGCACGAGAAGAAAGCCCCGGAGCGCCCGACGGCUCCGAGAAGAAAAGCUUUCGGCUUGGAAACGCUGCUCCAGCGAAGCCCGGUUGUUAAUAAAAACUCGUUGUUUUGUCGAGGAAAAUUGUUUUGAGAUAACGAAGUGCUGUCUGAGUUCGGAAUCACCACCUAAUCAGGUGUUGAUAUGAAGUGACAUUACACUGAGAGAUUUAAAGAGAUGUAGAUCACUAGUGUAAAUAAUUCUGGUGUCCUCGAUCAGUGGUGACAGUUGUUUUCUGAGUAUUCAAGGCAACCGUUGUGUCGGUCGAUGCUUUGGAGGUGCUGGAAUUAUGAUCUUGCAUGUUUCUUCCAAGAUUAGGUCUGAUCGAGCGGUGUAGAAAUUUGGCAGAGGGGUGGAUUGUUGGAUCAAAGUGGCGAGGCUUUCAUAUUUAUCUCUAAGGUCGUUUAUUAAUUGAUGGAUGGUAGGGUUCAAAAUAUUCCAUGGAUUAUGACAAUGGCCCCCCUUGAUGAUAUGUAGGUUAUUGACCCAAGAUUUGUUUUAUUCCCUAUAUAAAGUCAUGUAUUAUUCAUUAUCAGGGUUAAGAGUAAGGCAAGAUGUAGCCGCCAAUCAUAAUGAGGUUUCUUAGGUAGAAUAGAUUUACUUUAAUCUUUUCUUAUAGUGUAAUUUCCUCAUGUUCUUGAAUAAAAU